rnacentral:rRNA from 1 species
UACUAUGUUACGACUUAUCUUAUCUUAAAAUAAGAGCGACGGGCGAUGUGUGCAUAUUUUAGAGCUAAAAUCAAAUUUUUAAUCUUUAAAAUUUUACUAUCAAAUCCAUCUUCAUUAAAUAUUUCAAAUUUAAAUUCGCUUAAAUAAUUUUAUUGUAACCCAUUUCUACUUAAAUAUAAGCUACACCUUGAUCUGAUAUAAAUUUUAAUAAAAAUUAUAGAAAAUUAUUAUUCUUAUAAAAUAUUCUUAUAACGACGGUAUAUAAACUGAAAAACAAAUUUAAGUAAGGUACAUCGUGGAUUAUCAAUUACAGAACAGGUUCCUCUGAAUAGACUAAAAUACCGCCAAAUUUUUUAAGUUUCAAGAACAUAACUAAUACUACCUUAAUGUUUAUAUUUACAUUUCAAAUAAUAGGGUAUCUAAUCCUAGUUUA